AAUUGUGUUCCAUGGAUAGGCCUGCAUCAAGAACGCAAAAAGAUAUCACAUACAACAUAGAAAAAGGUGGACAUCAAAGGACUGCAUUUCAAACAGCAUAACUAAGAACAGUUUGCAGCAAAAUAAAAAAAUAUGGAAGGAAACCGGCAAUCAGUUCACAACAUGCUUGUGACAAUUUCAGAUGGUAUAAACUAACAAUUAACAGUAAUUCAAAAGCAAAGCCUCAAUUAUCACAAGAAAGUCACAACUACCAGAUAACCUGAAACGUUCACUUCAGAUCAAAACAAGACUUACUUGAUGACCUGGCACCACACACCAAUCUGCCACAAGAGCAGUGGAAUAACAGGAAGAGAAACGGUGUUUGCAGGUUUCAGUUUCACAAUUGAUGAACUUUUUACAAUACAAAUGGAUAUCUAUAAACAAAAAUUAAGCAUCACCGUCACUAAAAAGAUUCAUGGAGAACAUAGAUAAGCUGAAUGAUUUCACAUAAAGACAAGGGCAAAAAUUCAUAUUGGAAAUAGCAACAAACGGGCAAUUAUUCAAAUCCAAAGGAGAACUAGAAAGUUUUCAUACAAACAUAUUGACAAAUAGAAAUAAAAAAUACUUUUUUUGAGACUGAUGUAUCAAAAAUUUUGGGUUUACAUGGAAUGGAAACAUGAUAUUCCAAGCUUCAACUCAAAAGAAUGUUGAAUGCUAGCACUCCAAAAUAAUGAGGGCCAAAGUAGAGAAUAAGAAAUUUAGGGAAAUGAGAAACCAUAAAUGUUAUAAAUUAACAUUGAGCACUUUGUUAUGUGUAUAUGGGUGGGCUUGAGCCGUAUCAAGAUACAAAAUACGAAUACAGAAUAAGUACAUAUCAUGUUUGAGCCAUGAGUCCAUGAUUCAAAGAAAUGGAAGUGUAGCAUUCCAAGUACAUGAUGUAUCUCUGUCAAUUAAUUUAUGCAUAAUCAUCUUGGGACGAUUUUUCAUGGAUAAGGAAUCACCUGAAGAAUAAAACUUAUUCAGAUGGAAAAAAACAAGGCAUUUAGAAUAAGACGCAUUCAUAAUUCUGUCUAUGUCAAAGGGGGAUGAUUUAACUCCACAAAAAUUAUAUGAAUUACUUAGCCUUAGAAUGGAGUUAAGAUAAUAGUACAACAAUUUACCUGAAGGUUGAGCUAUAAGAUUU
rnacentral:misc_RNA from 1 species